rnacentral:rRNA from 1 species
GACGAACGCUGGCGGCGUGCCUAAUACAUGCAAGUCGAACGAAGCUGUUUUAACUGGUGCUUGCACCGACUUAAACAACUGAGUGGCGAACGGGUGAGUAACACGUGGGUAACCUGCCCCAAAGCGGGGGAUAACAUUUGGAAACAGAUGCUAAUACAGCAUAAUCACAGAAACCACAUGGUUUCUGUGUCAAAGAUGGUUUCGGCUAUCACUUUGGGAUGGACCCGCGGCGUAUUAGCUAGUUGGUAAGGUAAUGGCUUACCAAGGCAAUGAUACGUAGCGGAACUGAGAGGUUGAUCGGCCACAUUGGGACGGAGACACGGCCCAAACUCCUACGGGAGGCAGCAGUAGGGAAUCUUCCACAAUGGACGAAAGUCUGAUGGAGCAACGCCGCGUGAGUGAAGAAGGUUUUCGGAUCGUAAAACUCUGUUGUCAGAGAAGAACGUGUGCGAGAGUAACUGUUCGUGCAGUGACGGUAUCUGGCCAGAAAGCCACGGCUAACUACGUGCCAGCCGCCGCCGUAA